GGGAAAGUCAUAGCUCAGUGGUAGAGCAUCCGUCUUGCAUGCAGAAGGUCCCAGGUUCAAUCAUCGGCAUCCCCA